UGGGGAAUUUUGGACAAUGGGCGAAAGCCUGAUCCAGCAAUGCCGCGUGUGUGAAGAAGGCCUUCGGGUUGUAAAGCACUUUUGUCCGGAAAGAAAUCCUUGGCUCUAAUACAGUCGGGGGAUGACGGUACCGGAAGAAUAAGCACCGGCUAACUACGUGCCAGCAGCCGCGGUAAUACGUAGGGUGCAAGCGUUAAUCGGAAUUACUGGGCGUAAAGCGUGCGCAGGCGGUUUGCUAAGACCGAUGUGAAAUCCCCGGGCUCAACCUGGGAACUGCAUUGGUGACUGGCAGGCUAGAGUAUGGCAGAGGGGGGUAGAAUUCCACGUGUAGCAGUGAAAUGCGUAGAGAUGUGGAGGAAUACCGAUGGCGAAGGCAGCCCCCUGGGCCAAUACUGACGCUCAUGCACGAAAGCGUGGGGAGCAAACAGGAUUAGAUACCCUGGUAGUCCACGCCCUAAACGAUGUCAACUAGCUGUUGGGGAUUCAUUUCCUUAGUAACGUAGCUAACGCGUGAAGUUGACCGCCUGGGGAGUACGGUCGCAAGAUUAAAACUUAAAUGAA
rnacentral:rRNA from 1 species